rnacentral:rRNA from 1 species
GCAUCAUAGCGAGAAAGAAAAUACAUGAUUUCCCUAGUAACGGCGAGUGAAGAGGAAAGAGCUCAAAGUUGGAAACUGUUUGGCUUAGCUAAACCGUAUUGUAAACUGUAGAAACAUUUUCCUGGCACACCAGAUUAAUAAGUCCUUUGGAACAAGGCAUCAUGGAGGGUGAGAAUCCCGUCUUUGAUCUGAGUAGUUGUCUUUUGUGAUAUGUUUUCAAAGAGUCAGGUUGUUUGGGAAUGCAGCCUAAAUUGGGUGGUAAAUCUCACCUAAAGCUAAAUAUUUGCGAGAGACCGAUAGCGAACAAGUACCGUGAGGGAAAGAUGAAAAGAACUUUGAAAAGAGAGUUAAACAGUAUGUGAAAUUGUUAAAAGGGAACCGUUUGGAGCCAGACUGGUUUGACUGUAAUCAACCUAGAAUUCGUUUUGGGUGCACUUGCAGUCUAUACCUGCCAACAACAGUUUGAUUUGGAGGAAAAAAUUAGUAGGAAUGUGGCCUUUCGAGGUGUUAUAGCCUACUAUCAUACUCUGGAUUGGACUGAGGAACGCAGCGAAUGCCAUUAGGCGAGAUUGCUGGGUGCUUUCGCUAAUAAAUGUUAGAAUUUCUGCUUCGGGUGGUGCUAAUGUUUAAAGGAGGAACACAUCUAGUAUAUUUUUUAUUCGCUUAGGUUGUUGGCUUAAUGACUCUAAAUGACCCGUCUUGAAACACGGACCAAGGAGUCCACCAUAAGUGCAAGUAUUUGAGUGACAAACUCAUAUGCGUAAGGAAACUGAUUGAUACGAAGUCUUACGAUGGCAGUAUCACCCGGCGUUGACGUUUUAUACUGAACUGACCGAGGUAAAGCACUUAUGAUGGGACCCGAAAGAUGGUGAACUAUGCCUGAAUAGGGUGAAGCCAGAGGAAACUCUGGUGGGAGGCUCGUAGCGAUUCUGACGUGCAAAUCGAUCGUCAAAUUUGGGUAUAGGGGCGAAAGACUAAAUCGACCAUCUAGUAGCUGGUCUGCA